rnacentral:tRNA from 1 species
GGCGACGUGGCCGAGUGGUUAGGCAGAGGCCUGCAAAGCCUUGUACAACGGUUCGAGUCCGCUCGUCGCCU